rnacentral:rRNA from 1 species
UACGUAGGGAGCUAGCGUUGUCCGGAAUCAUUGGGCGUAAAGCGCGCGUAGGCGGCCCGGUAAGUCCGCUGUGAAAGUCAAAGGCUCAACCUUUGAAUGUCAGCGGAUACUGCCGGGCUAGAGUCCGGAAGAGGCGAGUGGAACUCCUGGUGUAGCGGUGAAAUGCGUAGAUAUCAGGAGGAACACCUGUGGCGAAAGCGGCUCACUGGACCACAACUGACGCUGAGGCGCGAAAGCUAGGGGAGCAAACAGG